rnacentral:rRNA from 1 species
AUGGUGUCGCGACUGCAUAAAGCUCGCCGACGCUGCAACCGGCGUCAACGCUGCAAUCAAGAGGUCUUGCCGGCGGCAGAUGCUGCAAUGAAGCGCUGCCUACGCUGCAAUGGAGCCUCGCCGGACUGCGUUGAAGCUUUUGCCACGCCGCCGGGGCUACAAUGGAGCGCCACCGGGGUUGCAAUGGAGCACGGCGGGGGCUGUGGAAGCUGUGAUGGUGAUGCAAUGGAGCUCCAUCGGGGCUGCAGUGGAGCUUCGCCGGACACCGGCAUUGCUGCUAUGAGUUUUUUGUCUGGCCGCGUGGUGCACCAUAGUAGCUGCAAUGGAGCUUCACGGGGUGUCUUUAGUGCUGCGUUGAAACUAGUGUUUGCUCGGUGCUGA